CAGCCGCCGCGGUAAUACCGGCGGCCCGAGUGGCGGUCACUAUUAUUGGGCUUAAAGCGUCCGUAGCCGGGUUGGGAAAUCCUCCGGGAAAUCUGGCCGCUUAACGGUCAGAAUGCCGGAGGAUACUCCCAGCCUAGGGAGCGGGAGAGGCCGAGGGUAUUCCCGGAGCAGGGGUGAAAUCCUAUAAUCCCGGGAGGACCACCUGUGGCGGAGGCGCUCGGCUGGGACGCGUCCGACGGUGAGGGACGAAGGCCAGGGGAGCAAACCGGAUUAGAUACCCGGGUAGUCCUGGCUGUAAACGAUGCGGACUUUGUGUCGGACAAGCUAUGAGCUUGUCCGGUGCCGGAGGGAAACCGUUAAGUCCGCCGCCUGGGGAGUACGGCCGCAAGGCUGAAACUUAAAGGAAUUGGCGGG
rnacentral:rRNA from 1 species